rnacentral:rRNA from 1 species
GUCUGUGGCCAUACCACCCUGAACGUACCCUGAUCUCAGAAGCUAUUCAGGCCUGGUUAGUACCUGGAUGGGAGACUGCCUGGGAAUACUGAGUGCUGGAGGCU